UUGCAAGCAUGCUGAUAUCACUGUAGGAAAAAUUUAGAAAGUAAAGUUCCAGAUAUUGCAAAAUCUGGAUUUACAUCGGCAUGGUUGCCGCCAUCAACUCAUUCCUUUGCCCCGGAAGGUUACCUCCCUUAGAACAUAUAUUCCCUCAAUUCUAAAUAUGGAUCUGAGCACCGAUUAAAAAUUAUGCAGCUAAAUAUGUGAAGGAGUAUAUUGAAGGAGCAAAACCAAUUUUUUCCGUUGGGGA
rnacentral:lncRNA from 1 species